rnacentral:rRNA from 1 species
UGGGGAAUUUUGGACAAUGGACGCAAGUCUGAUCCAGCAAUGCCGCGUGCAGGACGAAGGCCUUCGGGUUGUAAACUGCUUUUGUACAGAACGAAAAGGCUCUGGUUAAUACCUGGGGCUCAUGACGGUACUGUAAGAAUAAGCACCGGCUAACUACGUGCCAGCAGCCGCGGUAAUACGUAGGGUGCGAGCGUUAAUCGGAAUUACUGGGCGUAAAGCGUGCGCAGGCGGUUUUGUAAGACCGAUGUGAAAUCCCCGGGCUCAACCUGGGAACUGCAUUGGUGACUGCAAGGCUGGAGUGCGGCAGAGGGGGAUGGAAUUCCGCGUGUAGCAGUGAAAUGCGUAGAUAU